rnacentral:tRNA from 1 species
GGGCACUUGGCUCAGUGGUAGAGCAUCGCCUUCACACGGCGGGGGUCGGUGGUUCGAAUCCACCAGUGCCCACCA